rnacentral:rRNA from 1 species
ACGGCUCAGUAACACGUAGGUAACCUACCCUUCGGACGGGCACAACCCCGGGAAACUGGGGCUAAUUCCCGAUAGGUACCCCCUUCUGGAAUGUGGGGAUAUCCAAAGCUCCGGCGCCGGAGGAUGGGCCUGCGGCCGAUUAGGUUGUUGGCGGGGUAACAGCCCACCAAGCCGACGAUCGGUACGGGCAGUGAGAGCUGUAGCCCGGAGAUGGGGACUGAGACAAGGCCCCAGGCCCUACGGGGCGCAGCAGGCGCGAAACCUUCACAAUGCACGAAAGUGUGAUGAGGGUACUCCGAGUGCGCAUACAUUGUAUGUGCUUUUCUGCAGCGUAAAUAGUUGCAGGAAUAAGGGCUGGGCAAGACCGGUGCCAGCCGCCGCGGUAACACCGGCAGCCCUAGUGGUGGCCGCUUUUAUUGGGCCUAAAGCGUCCGUAGCCGGACAGGCGAGUCUUUGGGUAAAUCCUACGUCUUAAGCGUGGGAAUUCUAAAGAUACUACCUGUCUUGAGGCCGGGAGAGGCUGGAGGUACUCCUGGGGUAGGGGUAAAAUCCUAUAAUCCUGGGGGGACCACCGAUGGCGAAGGCAUCCAGCUGGAACGGGCCUGACGGUGAGGGACGAAACCCAGGGGAGCGAGCCGGAUUAGAUACCCGGGUAGUCCUGGGCGUAAAUGAUGUGGGCUUGGUGUGAGCGCAUCGACGAGGUGCGCUUGUGCCGUAGGGAAGCCGUUAAGCCCACCGCCUGGGGAGUACGGUCGCAAGGCUGAAACUUAAAGGAAUUGGCGGGGGAG